rnacentral:rRNA from 1 species
GACGAACCACACAAACGUUAAUCGGAAUUACUGGGCGUAAAGGGUGCGCAGGCGGUUAUAUAAGACAGAUGUGAAAUCCCCGGGCUCAACCUGGGAACUGCGUUUGUGACUGUAUGACUAGAGUACGGUAGAGAGGGGUGGAAUUCCUGGUGUAGCAGUGAAAUGCGUAGAUAUCAGGAGGAACAUCGAUGGCGAAGGCAGCCCCUUGGACCUGUACUGACGCUCAUGCACGAAAGCGUGGGGAGCAAACAGG